UCUAGGGUAUGUGGGUGCUCUGUUUUUUCUCACCUUCUCCCUUUCUUUUUGCUGUUGUUUCCCCUUCCCCCUUGGAGAGGAUUUUGUUGUUGUUGUUUUCCACUUUAAUUUCCUCUCCCUUAAUGUCAGCUACUUAGGCCUGACCAGGGUAGAGGGGAGGAGUGAACCAUCCCCUGAUUCUCACUUGAGCUCCCACCCUUUACCCUGUUUUCUUCUGGUGGACAGAGAGGCUAGUUUUCCAGGCUGUUUGGGUGUCAGUGUCCAUCUGUGCUGUCUUAGGGGAAAGGAAGAGGGUGAGAAGUGUCAAGAAAGCCGUCAGGAGGGACUGUUUUCCCAGGCAUUCCCUUGUUAAAAUGUCUAGUCCUGGGCAUCUGGGGUGGUAGAGAGCAUAAGCAUGGGGUGGGGUGUGGGCUGGGAGAAGUGGGGUGAAGCUGGGAGGUUGUCGCUGCGUAGUUGAGAAAAGUGGAGAAUGGUGACGCAGUCACUGUUGCAUCUUGUUAGGAGCUCUGUGGAGACUGGUGGUGCAGCUCCUGGGACCUGAGAGGCCAGCAGAAGGGUUAAGGAUGAGCCUAGGUGGGAAGCUAGCAUUUAGAGAUUAAAUGUCAUCCUUUUGGCGUUGGAAAGUUGUUUACCUUGCGUUCUCUGUGUCUCCAUGUUGGCUCCCUUCCAGUUCACAUGUGAUGGCCUUCCCUGUACUGCUGCAUCAUUAACUAAGUGACUGAGCUGGUCUUCCAUUGGCCAGGGGAGGGCUCUUGCUUCAGACACUUCCUCUCAUUGGUAGGAGGGCCAGUGGCAGGUGAAAAGCUCUUUUUGAUUGGCUGAGGACAGGGUAUCAAAUCUGAAUUUGCAUUUCACUUGCUUAAAGGGGAGGGAGGAGAAGCCCAGCAGCUUCUAAAAUCUCUUUUAGGGGUGUGCGUAGGUGCCUGUGUCUGCCUGCUUCAGACUGCCCAGUCGCUGCUUCUUCCAUUACCUUUGUAAAAUUUCAGUCACUAUAAGGAAGAAGAGCUUAGAGUGCCCCAAACUUUUUUAUUUUUUAUUUUUUUGAGGGAGGAGAUUGGGGAGACUGGUUUGAGGAGGAGUGACCAAAUUGGAAGAAAAUAUUUGUCCUCCGCUUUGGUGUCAGAAAAGGGAAUUUUCCAAUCUGCCACACCUCAGUGUUGCGGCAGAAAUAAUUCCUGGCUCCCCUGGAAACCAUCGGGCAAGGUAGGGAGAGUUGCUGUUGCUGUCGCCACUACCCUGGGCUUCCUACUUGAGUGGUCUGCUCCCAGGUGAAGGGAUCUACACUGAUGCUCUGGUCAUCCAAAGGGCCUCAGACUCUUGGAAGAACCUGCCUUUUGGAAGCUGCUGCUAUCUUGUGCUUGGAAAGCAGAGAACGUGACAGAGUACUGCUCUACCUGUAAGUAGUUGACAACCUCUUGGCAACUCAGGCUCAGUUGAGGAUGAUGUUUGUACAUCUAAGCCAUAAUUCCACUGGCUAGAACAGUUUGCUUGCAUUGUUCUGGAACAGAAAAGAGGAGCUGGUUGACCACUCUGCUUUCUGUAGGUGCUGGAUGAAGUUGCUGAGGUGGGAUGAGGGCCAGUAGGAUGCCAUGUUUAGAGAAGGAAAGACUGGGGCACUCAGUUUGUCAAAGGUGGUUAUGCCCUACCUCAAAUACCAGCUUCCAGAGUCUCCUCUGUUUCCUGCUCGACUUGCUCUGCUCACGAAUAUCUUUUGACCUUUCUUCACUCUUCCGGACCUCUCUGUGCUUUCCCACACCCCUUUCUCUUCCCUUUGAUUUUUUUUUUUUUUCUUUAGGAUGAAUGAGGGCAUUCUCAGCUACUGGUCUAAGAGACAUACCUUUUUUUUUUUUUUUUUUUUUUUUUUUUUUAAUCUUCACCCCCUAUAGCAAGACAGGGAAAGGAAGUUGUCCUGGGAAGGAAGGUGGGUAGUGAGUAAGCCCAUAGUGUUGGGCGAUGGAGCAUAGUAGGUUAGAUAGUCUUUUCCUUCUUGGAGGUACUCCAGAGCCACCAGUUUGUGUGGUUCCUUGACCUCAGGUGUGCUCUGAUGUAACAGGGACCUAGUCUUCCUGGUGGAUUAAAUAUUCAGCUGCUGAUUAAAAACUAGAAGCAAGAAAUGAAAGGCCUGAGUCUGCCUCCCAGGCAGCUGGAGUGUGGCUGCUCCCUGGAUCUGUUCCCUCAAACGUGACCAUUCAGAACCUCCAAUAGUUGUUCAUUUCUCUCCAUUCUUCCAUUCCUGGCUUUUCUAUGAAUGAGGUAACUGGCAGAGUGCUGGACAGGGUAUGGCAGUACCAGGGCACCUUUACUUCCCACAGUGAGGUGAAGAAAGCUUCCUAGCUGCUGACAUGUUCCCGUUAGAAUCCCUAAAGUUCUGGGAGCUGUCCAGGGCUCAAGCAUGUUCUUUCCUGUGCAGAAAGGGUGUUUGCCUUACUCUGGAUACACUGAGCCUAUAAGGGAAUUAGGCUAGGUCUGGGGUCUAAAGUGUAGACUGGGCUAAUGGGUGUUUGCCUUACUCUGGAUACACUGAGCCUAUAAGGGAAUUAGGCUAGGUCUGGGGUCUAAGGUUUAGGCUAGGCUGAGCAGUGACUGGAUUCUGGAUUUUUCUCUGCUUGGGGUUUUCCUUUGAAUAGAUCAUUUUGUUCUUUAGGUCUUCAGUUGUCUUCAAAAUAUUUCCAGGCACUUGACAGGGAAAUACUUUUCCUCUGCCUUACAACAACAGCACUAUUGAGUUAAAGUGAUGAUCUCCCUCAAAACUGGGAAGGCAGCUCCAUUGUAGACACAAACCGGAAAGCAGACGGCUAGUGCUUGCCGUGAUCAGAAGUCCCUGUCUGUCAUUGCUGGCAGUGUUCUUGGUCCCUAGAGUUAGUGGGAACUAACACAGCCAGGUGUCUAUGGUCUAAGAAGAAAAGAAAUAAUCCUGGAUAAUCCUACUAGGUACCUGUGGAAUCUCCAUCCAGCCAGCUCGUGCAGUUACUCUGCUGGCGUUGUGUUUCACCUUCCCUGCUCCCUCACUGCUGUCCAAGGAAGAUUAAUGAAUCCCACCUCACAUGUUUAAUUGUCUUGUCUCUCCCUUUGAGACAAGCCUCUGAGAUCCCUGCCAAGAAAGGUCAAUUUGGAUGAGUUAUCUGUUAUUUCAAGGAGCUAGACAAGUUCAGUCACUACAUCAGUGGUCUGUGAGGAUAUUGAGGGGAUGGAGGGGCAAAACUUUAAACAAAGAGGCGAGUUCAGUCAGCUCUAUAGCUGGGAAGUGGAAAAGAAUCAACCUGGUUCUUCAAGAUGAGCCCCACUGGAGACCUGAAACCAGACGUGCUGCUGGCCGUGAUUGAAAACCGUGGGUCUUGUGCCCAACUCUGAUGGCCUCUGCUGCCAUUCACAGCCCUUCCUUUGCCUCAUUGGGAAAGUGGGUACAGAGCAGAAAGGAUCUUGGCUUUGCCUUUUGUCACACAGCUGUCUCUGUGAAUCAGGGCUGUACCACCCUGCCCAUUUCCCUCUUUCAGACCUGGCUUCUGCUGUGUGUUGCCGGCCAAGCAGGCAGGACAGUUAGCAUGCCUUGAAGGAUCUAAGCAUGCCUGACACUUUUUCCUUGGCCUCUGAGUCUAUGAGUUCUGGAAGACAGCUGGGAUACUGAAGCUGAAAUGGCAUGGCUGGCAAUAGUAAAAUGCAAGGUGCCCUACCCAGGGACUUGAUUGGUCCACACCAUCUGGAUUCCACUGUAUUUCUAGGGCUAUGAAUUGUUCAGUGGAUAUCUUGGCUCUGUCCUCUGGCUUGGGUUUGUCCCCAAGACUGCAGCUUUAGAGGAGGACAUAAACUCUUACAGGUCACGUUUUUAUAUUUAUGGCCUGCCUCUGGGAUAAGUAAGAGACACUGUCCUUUUAAUCAGCCUGCUGUCUGUUGAAGGGCCUUGCUUUCCUUCAUUUUCCUGGUCACUGGCUGUGAGGAAAGCAUACCCUGGGUUUGGUUCCUUGUUGGCUUCUUCCAGCUGCAUAUGGGCUAAUAAGCAAUAAAAUACUCUUGAGGCCCCAUGGUCUGUACAGAGCUUGAUGCUGUAGAGCCAUGACUUUGUGGGUAGAGUACAGGAAUAGGAUGAAGGGAACCACAUAGGGUCAUGGUUGUUCGUGAAGAUUUUGCUUAGCUAGAAACUCAAAGCCAGGAAAAUGAACCCAAGUUGCUGAGAGGGAGAAAGGAAGGGUCCUGGAGGCCUAAGAGCAACCAAGUUUUAUUCCACAGAGGCACCCUAGUGCUAGUGUGAAUGAGGGUUGGUGAUGGGUUUUGCAUAGGUAGUAGGAAUGGGUUUUUUGGGUGGGUGACUGUGAAGAGAAGUGGGUAAGUGGAUGAAAGAACUUGGUGAGGACCUACCAGGUGACAGGAUAGGACACUGUUUCCUCUUAGUGGCGUGGGAGAUGUGCACACACAUGGGAGCUGGCUGUGGUGCAGGACUUAGAUUGAAAGACCCUGUAUGUUCAAGGAAGGCAUUCUGUUUAAGGCCUGCCCCUGUGCCAAGAGGACUUAACUUUGCGUUUAUUUAGCCUUCUUUUCUUUUGUGGUUGGAACUCUAGUCUGUCUACAAAUCUCCAAAGCUGCCUGGGUAGGAACCCCUGGGCUUGGGAACAUGUGGAGAAGUCUUAAGGAUUCUCAGGAGUGUCACUUAGUCACUACACACUUAGAUCUCUUCACAUGAGCUGGUUCACUGGGUUUCACAGCACUGAGCAGAGGGUAGUAUUGGCCUUGUCGUGACUUAACUGAGUCAGAAAGAGCCCUCUCAGGGCCUAAUGGCUUGUUCCCAGCUUUGGAUUUCCAACCCAGGUCUUAAACUCCAGCUAGACUAGGGAGUGGAGCACCGAGGUCCUUGGCAGUAUUCUGGAUCUCUGAGGCCUUCACUUCUUUCUUUAUACAUUAGAGAGGAGAAGGAGAACUAAGAAUAUCUUUACUCUCCUCCUCUGUUUCUCUGAUUGCUUAGAGCUCUUGUGAGAGCUGACUUGCACUUGGCUAAAAUGCCAGGCAUUCCCCAUGAUCCUGAAAAGAGUUCUUGUUAAGCCUUUUUGACAUCUUCAUAGAGUAUUUCCCUGAAUCUGGGCAUGUUUCUGCUGUGUGUUGCUCACUAGGAAAGGAAGUCUCACUGUGGCAACUCAAGUUUUCCCAUUCUAUUUGUGAGGGAUGCCUGGAGCUUUCCCAGCAUGUGUGUUGUGUCUGUGUUAUCUGUUUGCUGGCUCACAUAAAUCAUCCACUGGAAGCAUUGGCUAAUGUGUUGCAUAGUUAGAUAUCAGGAUAUAAAGUGGCUCCUUGGUUCUACCUUUAAUCAACCCUGGCUGCCUUUGUGGCGUCCUUAAGCUGGGAGAGUAGCAGAGACAAUGUCGGCACAGAUCUGGAACAAUAAUCCAGUUUCCUUUGAAGAGAGAAUUUUUGCCACUGAGCUUAUAGGAACGGUUCUUAAUUCCUAUAUAAAAAGUAGAGAAAGUAUAUGCUGUCUCUUAUAUCUCCUAUGGAAGAUCUGUUCUGUUUCUGUAUUUGUAUCAUUACUGCUCUUUACCCUGGGCCAUAUCUCCCAGUGAAGGGGACUCUUGACAAUCGUUGUGGUUGGGGGGAAAGGUAAUAGAGAAAGUAAGAUCAGGUGAUGUUUUCUAGAAAGAAGGUAAGAGUAGAGUUUCAGCGUAGACUCAGCUCUGAAAGUCAUAGGCAUUAUUUUUGGUGCUAAAGGCUUAGGUGUAUGUUCAAGUGGACAUACUUCUUCGAGGAAACCCAGAGGGUGAAAUAAUUAGUUAAUGGCUCAAUGAAAGUUAUAUUAAGUAUGGAAAACCCUAUGUCCAUUUGAGUUAUUGCUAGCUGUAGACUUUGUAUCAGGAGACUUGAUAGGACAGGCCUGUCUUAAGUUCACACUUAGUAUUGACUUUCUUUUCUGUUUCCUAUUCUUUUACAUCCCUUAGCCAUUUCUGAAUAUAGUCAUUUCCUCUCUAUGGAGGAUUGGAUCCACAGAUGCUGAAGUCCUUCUGUGAAAUGAGUUUUUUUUUACUUAAUUUUAUACAUAUCCUCUCAUGAACUUUAAACCAUGCCCAGAUUUCUAUAAUACCUAACUCAAAGCAAAUGCUGUCAAAUAAUUGUUUUAAGAAUUCUUUAGAAGAUAGUAGCAAAGUCUGUGCAUAUAAAUGUAGUUCAUUAUAUAUAUAUAUGUGUGUAUAUGUAUAAUAUACACACAUAUUAUAUAUGUUCAUGCAUAAUAACUGGAGUGCAGGGAGACAGUACCUGGGGAUGUGGAAGGCUAACUAUAGUCUGUUGACGGAGGUUUCUCUCCCUUCUGGUCCCGCAGCCAUUCAGUCCCAAAGAAACACACAGAGGCCUACAUUAAUUAUAAACUGGUUGGCCUAAUAGCUCAGACUUUCUUAUUAACUAACUCUUACAUUGUACAUUAACCCAUUCUUCUUGUCUGUGUUAGCUGUGUAGCUUGGUACCUUUUAUCAGCAAGGCAUUCUCGUCUUGCUUCCUCUGUGUCUGGGUGACGACUACAGACUGAGCCUUUCCUCUUCCCAGAAUUCUCCUGUUCUUGUUGCCCUGCCUAUACUUCCUGCCUGGCUACUGGCCAAUCAGCAUUUAUUAAAACAAUACAAGUGACAAAUCCUUACAGGGUACAAGACCAUUGUUCCACAGAAAUAGUAUGUGCGGUUACAUUGCUACUUUCUUGAAGUACAUACAUGUCUUCUGGUAUCAGUGAAUUAGUGACUUUGAUUUGGAGUAUAAGUAAACAGACUGCUCAUUGUAAGGACCUUUCUGUCUUCAGAAUUUAGCUGCCUAUAGACCCUGGCAGAGAUCUGUUUGCCCUAUAGUAGGUACCUAAUGUGGAGUGAUUGUUUAGGUAUGCAUCCUGAAUCUAAUUAGCUGUUAUUUCAUCAUAGCUCAAAUCCUGAUGGUCUUGGAUAUCUAAGACCACAUCACAUGACAGUCUACUAAGUGAAAAAGGCCAGAAUGGAUAGGCACAGAGAGGGAGGGGACACUGCCUCUGGCCACUGGCUGCUCUCCAAAACAGGUGAACUUUGUGUUCAAAAGGAAUGCAUUUAAUCUUUUGGUCUUAAUAGAAGUUACUUGUAUUUUCUCUCCCUUUUUCUCCUCCUUUCUCUUCACCCCCACCCUUGUUGCCUCCCUAGCCACCAAAGAAUUUAAUCUGCUGGACACCAAACAAUACAGUUAUAAAACUUUGAAAACAAGAGGGUGCGGCCUCCCCAGUGAGGAAAAGGGCAUGCUGGGUAAUGGCCCCAGGGAACAUGCCAGGCUUGAGGUUUAGCCUGUGAGAGCCCAGUUGGGUGGAUACCUGAGUGCCUGCCCUGCCCAGUGCUAAGCUAUCCCCCAGUCCAGAAAGGGGACAGAAAAGGGCUUGUAAAGGGGAAGUUGUGUAUGUUCCCCUCUGAUCUGAUGGGAAUGCACUAGACUGUGAAACUUCCUUCUCUGCCUCUUCUAACUCUCACCCCUUCCCUUCUCCUCCCACCUCCUCCUUCUCAUUGUUCUUGAGACUAGCAGACAGAGGAUAUAACAGAAAAGGGUUAGAAUAGCAGUAUAGGUGCUGCUACUAGCUGGGCCUGCCAAAGGUGAAAUAGGGUUUGGGGCUUGUAUUGCCUACAAGCUCAGACAUAUCUUUACUAAACCCAGCCUCCCCCCCUCCCCACUGACCUGGGGCAGUGCAGCCACAUAUACAUCACAGUGGUUUGCUCCAGCCUAUGUACUGCCAAGUGUGUGCCCAGGUACUGGGCAGAACUACCACUAGUCCGCCCUGGCUUUCUGGUGCCUGCCUAAGACUGUGCUGAGGAGAAUGGCUAACAAAUGCUUUCUUCUGUGAGUGUUUUGCUCUCCACAGGAAGAGUGAGGCUUGUUGCAGAGAAUUCGUGGGAACCCAGAGUAGACACAUGAUCCAGUGAGUAUGGCACCAAGUAGGAUAUUGUGUCUCUCCUCCCCUUCUUGGCAGGAAGAGGAGUUGACCCAUCCUGACUGGAUGAAGUAGGGAAGUUAGACUUGGCUAUCUCUUCCCUGACCUGUCCUUAUCGAAUCCUCCACUGAGCCAUACGGGCCAUUUCGGAGUGUUAAGGGAGUGGACUGUGUAGGACUGGGGCUAUGAACUUUAUGGUAGGCAUUGGGAGAUCACAGGCAGGCUUACCUUUCCUCUUGUGCAAGCUUCAGCUCUCAUAAAAAUGCACUGUCUUAGAGUGUGGCUGGUCUCCACAUCUCUAACUUAGUGAAGCCAGGAGAGCCAGUGCUGGCCCCAUGGGCUUCUGAAGCCCUUGCUUCUCCCUUGGUUACCCAAGCCGGCACUUGUGGAACACACUGGAUCUCAAGGAUAUUAUGCCCACUAUGGAAAUCAGUAGUCAUGGAUGUUAGGCCAACAAGCUCCAAAUUCCCCUUUACCCAUGUAUCUUCAACAUAUAUCCCUCAUUUUUUCACCCUUUCCUCUGAUUCAUUAACCACAGCUUGUUGGCAGCAUUCCCUACCUACCCUGACAGCCAAAGACAAAAUGUCCUGGAUGCUGGGCCUAGGCUACUGCUGAGAGUGACAGGAAGCCAGGCAGCCUGUUCAUUUCACAUAUGCAGUCUCUCUUGGAGGUAAGAUGUUCCCUUUUCUUUCAAAAAGACCUUCAGACCUUCCCUAGUCUCCCCUCCCAAAGAUGAGUUCUUCUCACUGGUGGGAAGCCCUGAAUCAGUCUUCAGAGGCAGGCAAGAAAUGGAUGGCUGGUUUCUGGCACCCUCCCCCACACUGGCUGGAAUUCUCAUACAUACAACUGUGACUCAGCACCCAGUGCUGGGUCAGGAAGGAGAAGCUAUUGCCUGGCUGGAACCUUCCCACGUUCUGCAUGUGAGCACAUCAGACAGCACAGGCUGGGCCCACAGGGUGAGGUUCCUGGGGCAAGUAUCUUCCCCUCCCACGGGUUUUCUUCCCACAUUCUUUUGGGUUCUGUUCUGGGCUCAGGGUUCUAAAGAUCAUAGCAAUGGUCAUAGACCACUUUUUAAUCUUUGUUUUUAGCCACUUUUUAAUCUUUGUUUUUAAGCAGUGGCCCAUGAAGAGUGUUUAUAACCUUUAGUUGUACUGUCUGACCUGCAUGGGUUGUUUUUUCUCUGUGUUAAUUUUGUAUAUCUCUGGACAAAAUAUGAAUUUUCCAGAUUACAGUACCUCUCUUGCAUGCUGUUGCUGCCUCUGGCUAUUUCCUUCCUAAGCACUCUUGGCGUGUGUGUGUGUGUGACUGUGUGUGUGUGUGUGUGUGUGUGUGUGUGUGUGUGUGUGAGAGAGAGAGAGAGAGAGAGAGAGAGAGAGAGAGAGAGAGAGAGAGAGAGAGAGAGAGAGAGGGGCAGUUUUCCCAGCAGAGAGAGAGGGGACCAGUUUUCCAGCUUAUUCGUUUAUUCUUUACAGAUGAAUAUACUAAAGCCAUUCAUGAUGAUGGCAGGGGCCUGUUCUCAGCAUGUAGGCAAGUUGGUGUUCUAAUUUUACAAGGAGUGACUUUGCCUUUGCCCCUCUGGCCCCUGCCUUGCCCGAGAAGUGUCCUGUCAUGGAUGGGUAGAAUGACCUCCAGAGUGAAAUAGGAACAGGAACAGAUGGAGGCUGGAGAGUGGUGUCCCAGACUUCUUUCCUGCUCAGUGACCUUUUCAGUACUGCUAAGUGAGGAAGGGUGGUUUCUUUUCUAGACAGCCCCAUCAAACCCUGUAGCUUGAAGUUUACUUGAAGCUAUUUGAGGAAGGAGAUCCCAUUGCUCUCACUGAGAGCAGAGCCCUAGCAGCCCACGGUUUCAUGGGCUGCUGCCGUAGACAUCCAGGUGACUCUCAGGCCUGGUGCCAGAAAACUAGAGCCUUUAUCAAGUCAUUUAGCUGUUCCAAACUAAUGAAGAAUCACCACCUUGUUUCAGAAAAGGGACAUUGCCCAGCCGACAAUGCUUUUAUGGGGUGCUGAGGCCUGAGUGGAGUCGGAUGGACAAAGGGUCUGAAUGCUAGGACUACUUUUAUUUCCCUCCUCUCUAGCUUAGUGUUUAAAUCACCAUACCGUCAGUAGUUCUUAUCUACCAGAAGAGAGGGUUUGCAGUCCAAGGGUGGAACCCUAGACCUUACCUUUUCCUUCACUGGUACUUUCUCCUUACCAAGCAUAGCAUCUCCCCUGGGCCUGGGCAGCAUUUCACUUACUGGGUAGGAAGAAAGACAUUAGCUUCAUGCCAUGCUGAGGACCAAAUAAAUAUUUGUUUUCUAACUGAUAGCAAACUGGGCUAACCUAGGAGAAAGCUUUCUAGAGCUGAGUUAGGACAAGUGGGGUGGCAGCUGAGGGAGUAGGUGGAGAGUUGCCAAGGAGGUAACAGCAGAGGCGGAGACUUCUGGGAGGAAGGGUGUGCCCUGGAUUCCUGCAGGAUAUCUCUCCUUAACAUAGAGGAAGAAGACUGAGAAUUCUCGCAAUAGGAAGUUGCUAAGAAAAUUUGACUGAAAUGAAAAUCAGAAGAGCUGAGUAUUACCACAUGUAAAUCUCAUCUGUCCCCUUCAUUUACAGGGUUUUGAUCCUUGUCAAUAACUGCCAUGUGAUAUAUUUACAACCUAUCAUCUUGUUCACAAGGCCCUAAUUUUGGCAGCUAGUAUCACUGUCACUCUGGAACUCAUUAUAUAGAUUUGCUUGCAUUCUUCUGUAGCUGAGACCCUGGAGAACCCCAGGGAGGUCCUCUGCCUGGCUCAGUUUCUUAGAAGCUAAGCCUAUCAAUGUUAUCUGUAGGCUUCAUUCCCAUUAACUUCCCUAUUGCUAGACAGGACAGAGGCACCGUGGUACAAUAGAGCAAAAGCAGGUUCUCUUAGACUACCUGACCCCUUGCAGUAGCAACACCAUGUGCCCUCAUCUUUACCCAGACAUAGCAUGUGUGACAGUGAGUUUCUUUCACUUUAUCCGGAUUGCCUGAAGUAAAUUCCCCUCCCCAGUCUAGGUAAGAGUUCAGUUCAAGGGAAAGGAGAUCACAGUCACACAGUACAGACCGAGCAGCAGCAGUGGAACAGGAAUACAGACAUUAGUCCAUCUGGUUCUUAUGUCUACAGUUUCUUGUGCAAACAUCAGAACAAUACCUGCUUCAUUGGACUCUUAGAACGACUAAGUAUUGUGACACUGGAUGUUCACAUUAUAUUUGCUCAAAAAUUACCCUAUAGCAGUCAGGAGCUGUAGGAAGAGAUAAGCGUAUAUCCGGAGGACAAAAAGAGUUGCUGGAGAGACCAAGACAUACGGUUCUAUUGUCUUUUUUUCUCUGUGUUGAGACAUCAGAGGAAACACGUAGCAAAGAGGCAGUCCAAUUUGAAACAUAGUUUGUGAAUCUUAUUUUCAGAUAAAUUUUAAAAGCUUACCUUAUUUUUGUGUUAGAGGAAUAUCUACAUAAUAAGAUACCAGCUUUUAAAGUUACUCUGGGUUAAUUCAAAUUGUCAGCCUAUGGGGUCAUGGGAUAGAAAGGAGGAACAUGUGCUCUUUUUGAAUAAUACUCAUGGAAUCGUUGUCCUGACUUAGGUGCUAAACUUGUGUUCAGUAGUUACCAUCUCAUAGGUAACUGUCCUAAAGGAGUGAUAUAAUGUAUGCCACUAUGCAUCUUGGGAAAUACUACAUAAAUUCAAGACAUUACAGAUGUACAUGUGUGUAAUGGACUUGGUUCUUUUAGUUCAUUGUGUAUAAUAAUUUUUAACAACUAAUGUGAAGUCAUACAGGGAAUAAGCUUUGCAUUGGUCUCGUCUGCUCAAUGUUGGCUGUGACUCUGAUGCUGCUACGAGCAGCGUUGUAUGGCUGUCCUCUGCCUCUGACAGGCAAGAUGAUUCUCAGAGCUGAGGCUGGAUCGUCUGACUGCACUUCUCUGCCUUCUUCAGAGAGAUCCUCUUCUUCUGGAAGCUGGUUUCACAUGGUGGCUUAGAUUUUUCCAUCUUUGUAUCUAGCACCAUUUGAAAUCAGUGUUUUAGGAGUAAGAAUUGCAGCGCAGCAGAGGUUAGACUACAGAGGAGCAGCUGCACACAGGACUGGCUCUUUCCUUCAAGAAGUCAAGGGAAGACUUGGAACAGUGGGAUUUGCUCUUGAGUUUGUUUGGUUUAGAGGCAGUGAUGGUGGGAAAGUUGUUUAAAAUAAAUGCAAGGGCAUGGAUCGGGGCAGGGAGGGAUCUAAUUUACCAUCAUUUCAUGGGAGGGGGAGGGUGCUCCAUACCUGGAGGACCGCUUCCCCCGCAUCAGUACUGCCUGCCUGUACCUGGAAGAUGCCUGGAGGACUCAGUCGUGGUUGCAGCACAGCUGACGUCAGACUUGUCACUUGUCUGCCAUGAGGUUCAGACCUGAAGACCACCACUGGCCCAUCUCUUACACAGGCUGACCGAUUUCUCCUGGUGUUCAGAGUCUGUUUUUGUCUAGCACCAUUUGAAAUCGGUUAUGAUGUAGGGGGAAAAGCACCAGCCUCAGAGCCUCGUGGUGUCUGGUCAGCAGCAGCCUGUCGUUUCCUACACAGGCAGAGCAGAAAAGGAAGAUCACAGUUUCCUAACUUCUUUAAUGCAUAUGUAUGUGGUAGCAGAAGUUAGAGAUAACAGGAUUUUAAAAUUAAAUUUUUGUAAUUUAUCUGAUAUCCACAGUUGUAAUUUCUGACAUGUGGUACUGUUAUGAAUUGUAUAAAUGGUUGCUGCUGAACCAUGUUUGAGUAAAGAGUAUGUUCAUGCAUCCUGGCUUUAAUAAAUAAUUUGCUAUAUUCAAUUUA